GGGGGAGUGUGUUUUCAGCUUACUUCAAGUAAGAACACCCAAAUGACCUUCUCUUUCUGGAAGCAAACGGGGUCAAAGCCAGACGGAUUUUUUUUUUUUUGGGAAAACAUUGCAGGUUCGUCUUAGGAACUAAAGAAUUUCAGGAUCCAAGUGAACGGCUCACUCUUUAAACCAGGACUAGUUAACUUAUUUGAGUGAGAAGGGCUAACAUCAUUCUUCACCGAUAGCCACUGAAUUUUAAUUUUAAUUGUCUUCUUAGCCUCUGAUCCAGCAGUUCUGAAUCCCAUCCAAGUCAGGAAAAGUGAAUUUAUGGGCCUGCUAGCAACAAGCAGCUAGCAGUGUGGAGCGUCUGGAUUUUAUCUUUAUUAGAGCAGAUGGAGCCAGCUCCUCCGAGAUGCUGGGGCCCAGCCACAGCCAAGACAGCCAAGGGUUAUCCAUAUAGACCUAUGUAUCUAGGCCUUUGGGGAGACUGGUACCAAGAGCAUAAGAUAUGUAUGGUCUUGGUUGCUGUGUGAUGGUUCCUGGAAAACUAUAAUUGGGAAAAAAAAAAUGAAACUCUCUUGAGGAAAUGUUGAGAUAGAAUUUUUUCAUCUUGUGAACAUUAUUUAGUGGAAUUCUGAAAUGGAAAGCUUAAUUAGGACAUGAGUCACAUUUGAUAGUUUAAUGUCCUGAGUAUUACAGCUAACUUCAGGAUGCUGUGAGAGUCAUAUUUUUGAAUUUCUUCCUUUAAUUUGAAUAGAAUCUCUGACCACUAGCAAUGUUAAAAUGAUUUAGUGGCCUUUGAUGAUCUGGGUCUACUCUUCUCCUUUUUCUCAGACAUUCUGUGGGUUUUUUCCCCAUAGUUUCUUUGUCUGGAUGAUGCUUCCCAAAAAGUUCAUCUUCAAAGUUUUUUUCUUUUUUUCCUUUAAUUAUGAAGUAUUUCUCUUAAUUACAUCAGGUUCCCAGGCUAGGGCUUAAAUUGGAGCUGUAGCUGUUGUCCUACACCACAGCUACACCAAUGCCAGAUCCGAACUGCAUCUGCAACCUACACCACAGUUCACAGCAACGCCGGAUCCUUAACCCACUGAGCGAGGCCAGGGAUCCAACCUGCAACCUCAUGGAUACCAAUCAGGUUUGUUUCUCCUGAGCCACAACAGGAACUCCCUGGAAUCUUAUUUUCUUAGGCACAGAUUUUCUCUAAUGGAAAGAUUUUACAGUGAAUAGGGGUUACUUUUUAUAAUCAGAAAAACUGUGUUGGUGAAAGACACAUCCAUCUUUAGGUAGGUGGUAACUAGUAGGAAACUAAAUCUCAUUUUUUUUUCUUUUCUUUUUGUAAUCCAUUUAUAUGUGGGGAUUAAUAGCAAAGUGUCCUCUCAACAGUAAGGACCACGGGAAGAAUAAAGACCAUGCGAAUAUGUGGAUUCUGGCCCUGGAAUGAACAAAGAUGAGAAGGCCCAUGGAGAAAACGGCGCAGAAGCUCAGUGAUUAAAUAUCAACGGGAGGAUUAGCCCCAUUGUUGACUGAUCCUUUCAGCAGAGGAUUGAACCCGGAUCCUCAGUCAUCCAAAAGCUGUUGACCUUCGAGGGCUGACUGCAUCCCUUAUUUAUGCUCCUUUCCCCUUAUUUUAUUUAUUUAUUUAUUUAUUUGUCUUUUUAGGGCUGCACCCUCCGCAUAUGAGGUUCCCAGGCCCAGGAUUGAAGCAGAGCUGUAGCUGCUGCCCUACACCACAGCCACAGCAAUGCCAGAUCUGAGCCGCGUCUGUGACCUACACCACAGCUCAGGACAAUGCCAGAUCCUUAACCCACUGAGCGAGGCCAGGGAUCGAACCCCCAAUCUCGUGGUUCCUAAUUGGAUUUGUUUCCACUGCACCAUGAUGGGAACUCCCCUCCCUUCCCCUUAGACAGUGGUCUUGCAUCCCCAGUUGCAGUCGUGGUUAUGCCUGGGGACCUCAGUUUUUCUCAAGAUCUCUUCCUAGUUCAUGAACUCUCCCGUCUGUUCUGAAGGUCCUAAAUGAUUGGUUAUUAUUAUUAUUUUUUUUUGUCUUUUUUGCCUUUUUCUGGGGCUCUGGUGUAGGCUGGUGGCUACAGCUCCGAAUCGAUCCCUAGCCUGGGAACCUCAAUAUGCUGCGGGAGCAGCUCUAGAAAAGGCAAAAAGACAAAAAAAAAAAAAAAAAAAAAAAAAACAAACCUUCCAUAAAACAGUAGUCUCAUUUGCUUUGGGAUAUAUCCUGGUCUCUAUCUCUUAUUUUUUGGCUCACUCUGUCUCUAAAUCUGCACUGUUCCCGUUUUCACUUUGCCCUUCUUCCAGGUCUGGUUGAACUCAACCAUCCUUACACAAGCAGUUUCCUUGAUGUCCUAAUGUUUAAUGGCUCUUUUAUUUUAUUUUUAAAAUUACUUAAUGAGGAGUUCCCGUCAUGGCGCAGUGGUUAAUGAAUCCGACUAGGAACCAUGAGGUUGCGGGUUCAAUCCCUGCCCUUGCUCAGUGGGUCAAGGUUCCGGUGUUGCCGUGAGCUGUGGUGUAGGUCGCAGACGCGGCUCGGAUCCUGCGUUGCUCUGGCUCUGGCGUAGGCUGGCAGCUACGGCUCUGAUUAGACUCCUAGCCUGGGAACCUCCAUAUGCCGUGGGAGCGGCCCAAGAAAUGGCAAAAAGACAAAAAAAAAAAAAAAAAAAAAAAAAAAAAA
ensembl:lncRNA